UGUAGAUGUAAAAUGUAAUUUAAAAUAUUUUUUCAUGGCUGAAGAGGCCCAGGAAAGUCAUAUUGUGGACACGUGAAAAGCACAAUGAAUGAGUAUGGGUAUAUUAGAAGGUGAGAAGCUCUGUGGAGGAAGAAAAGGAAGUGUGAUAAACUGUCGGGAAAAGGAAAACACUAUGUGGAAGCAAGACACACAGGGAAAACAUCCUGUGAUGACAAAGGCAGAGAUUCGAGUGCUGCAGCUGCAAGCAAAGGCACACCAGGGAUUGAAGGCCAUCACCAGAAGCUGGGAAGAGACAAGGAGGGAUUGGAACAUGGCCCUGCUGUCACCUUGAUUUUGAACAUCUAACCUCCAGAACUACAUUUAUUGAAUACCUGCUAUGGGUCUGAGCAAUGUAUGAG
rnacentral:lncRNA from 1 species